rnacentral:rRNA from 1 species
UACGGAGGGUGCGAGCGUUAAUCGGAAUUACUGGGCGUAAAGCGCAUAUAGGCGGCCGAACAAGUCAGGUGUGAAAUCCUCGGGCUUAACCUGGGAAGUGCACUUGAUACUGUCCGGCUAGAGUUUGGCAGAGGAAAGUAGAAUUCCCGGUGUAGCAGUGAAAUGCGUAGAUAUCGGGAGGAAUACCAGUGGCGAAGGCGGCUUUCUGGGCCAAUAAUGACGCUGAGGUGCGAAAGCGUGGGGAGCAAACAGG